rnacentral:rRNA from 1 species
AGGGGUUCCACACGUACCCAUCCCGAACACGACCGUUAAGCCCUCUAGCGCCGAUGGUACUUGGACCGAAGGGUCCUGGGAGAGUAGGACGUUGCCAAGC